rnacentral:lncRNA from 1 species
AUGGCAGCACCCAGUCACCCUUUCACCCCGCUGGGAAGACAACAGACAUUAAGGUUCUCCUCAACUCCUCCAUUCCGUCUACCUCAGCCUUUGCCUAGAACAUUUACAAGACAAAUUCUUGUUGCAAAGCUUGUCAAUGACCAAGUAAAUCUCCAGGAAAAUGUGACAAAUAUUGUCUUCAGAGAAGACCAAGCCAAUGUAAAUGACAUGGCAAAGUUGGUGAGGACAGCUCUGCAGAUGGAGUCCGAAGUUGUCCUGACAGAUGGAGCAGGGAGGGCCAUUAUGCCAACACCUGGAACAUGUGGUAAAUAUUUUUUUUAUAAUAAACAGUGUUGUGGGUGUGUGUAUCUGUCGUGUGUUUUACGUAUUGUGUUGCAACUUAAUUUCAUUGUCACGAUUCAGCGCUGGUCGAGCUGGAUGCUAAUGAAAAACUUAAAAAAUAAUUGAAAUAAUCUUUGAGGCAAUAUCACAGGAUUAACCAAAUAUCAGAACGUUAGUAUUAUAGCAAUAUUGUCAGUUGGCCAGUUAUUAAAGUUGAAUAACUAUUAAGUACAUAACCUCUGCUUUUGGAUUGUGCAAUACCAUAAAUUUGGACACACCUUCAAACUGAACUGUAUUUUUACUGCGCAUAAAACAAUACAAAUGUUGAUUAUUAUAUUAAUUUGUCAACAGGAGUUCCAAAAUGUGAUACUGAACCCUACAUAAAAUUUAAAGCAUAAUACUGCCAUACAAUUUUAUCUUCUGUUUACUGGAUUUAGGAUUGGACUUUUGGAAGAAAGGAGCAAGGAAGAUUUUGGCCUUCAGUAAAGAUUUGUAUGAAGAGUGGACCAAGAGGAAGAGAAAGAGGUGACUUGAACAUGUGUAAAAUGUUGGAGUGUAUAAAGCUUGUUAGUUCCAGGAAUAGACCUUUUUAUGGACUGGCCAGUUUUUCAGUAAAUAACUAAAAUUAUUUUAAGGUCGUCAGACGACCACUUGGAACGAGUCCAUUCUGUGAUAGAAGAGGUUGUGUUGGCAGCUGAAGCACUGCCAGGCAUUGCCUCCAGUCUGAGGGAGUUGGGUCAUCUGAGCACAGGACUUACCAGACAUCAGUUGGAAACAAUUAAGUCGUCUUUCAAAUGCCUAAUAUGUCACUGUAAGUAAAUAACAGUAGAUUAGGGACUUUUUUGUUCAUCAAAUCAUUAGUGUUUAAAAAAUUCUACACAUUAUUGGAAUAUAGUGCAAACCUCCAGCACUAUUUUAAACUAUAAAAUUGAGUAAUUAUAAUAUUUAUAGUUUUUUAAAAGCAUAUUUUGACCGAAUAUAACAAAAUUAAACAAAAAUUAUAACAAAAAUAAAUUCAUACAACACCAUAUGGCA